GUGACCUCAAAUCAGGUAGGACUACCCGCUGAACUUAAGCAUAUCAAUAAGCGGAGGAAAAGAAACUAACAAGGAUUCCCCUAGUAACUGCGAGUGAAGCGGGAAAAGCUCAAAUUUAAAAUCUGGCGGUCCUUUUGGCUGUCCGAGUUGUAAUCUAGAGAAGUGUUAUCCGCGCUGGACCGUGUACAAGUCUCCUGGAAUGGAGCAUCAUAGAGGGUGAGAAUCCCGUCUUUGACAUGGACUGCCAGGGCUUUGUGAUGCGCUCUCAAAGAGUCGAGUUGUUUGGGAAUGCAGCUCAAAAUGGGUGGUAAAUUCCAUCUAAAGCUAAAUAUUGGCGAGAGACCGAUAGCGAACAAGUACCGUGAGGGAAAGAUGAAAAGAACUUUGGAAAGAGAGUUAAACAGUACGUGAAAUUGCUGAAAGGGAAACGCUUGAAGUCAGUCACGUCAUCCAGAGAUCAGCCUUGCUUUUGCUUGGUGCACUUUCUGGUUUGAUGGGUCAGCAUCAAUUUUGAUCAUUGGAAAAAGGUUGAGGGAAUGUGGCAUCUUUGGAUGUGUUAUAGCCUUCAACCGUAUACAAUGGCUGGGAUUGAGGAACUCAGCAYGCCGCGAGGCCGGGUUUUUAAAACCACGUACGUGCUUAGGAUGCUGGCAACAUGGCUUUAAUCGACCCGUC
rnacentral:rRNA from 1 species